rnacentral:lncRNA from 1 species
AGCAGAUCACCGCCAGAGCAUGGAAUUCCAUGCAUCUCCGAAGAUACUACUCUUGAGAACAUGUCUUACGGUCGAGCACCUUCAAGUCUUACUCGAUCGAAUCUCCGAAUCAACGAGUGAAUGACAAUCCGGUCACUUUCACUCGUAAAAAAAAAAAAAAAAAAAAAAAAAAAAAAAAAAAAAAAAAAAAAAAAAAAAAAAAAAAAAAAAAAAAAAAAAAAAAAAAAAAAAAAAAAAAAAAAAAAAAAAAAAAAAAAAAAAAAAAAAAAAAAAAAAAAAAAAAAAAAACAAAUGAAUGCGCCCAU